rnacentral:piRNA from 1 species
UCCAGCUAGGAUCAGCUAUGACUAAGGAAGU